rnacentral:lncRNA from 1 species
AUCAUUGUAAUGAUGUUGUGGUUGGAUUGUAACUGUUUUUGACUAUUGGAAUGCACUCUGGUAUUGAGCGCAAUAUAAAUGAUGAUGAUGAUGACACACUGUGUCUCCCUGACAGGAUGAUUAUUGCUCCGCAGCUCCCCAGUACAAAGGCCCCUCUUCUCACACACCGCCGCCCGAAGAAAGGUGGCAGGAUCGUUUCCCCUGUUCAGAGACCUCGCUUGGCCUCGAUCACAUGACGGGAGGCGGAACUCCAGAGGUACAAAGCGAGGGGGGAAAGGAGUGCAUCAUUAAAAAGGAUCCUCCGGAAACAGCACCCUCGCUGACUGAGAGUUUUAAGUCUCCCGGGAACCAGAGAGGCGGAGAAGCUCUCACAUCCUGUAGAAGAAACAUCCCCAGAUUACCCCCUUGUGUGUUUCUGCCUGGGGGAAAUGGAACUGUUGGCCACAGCACCCGGGGCCUCUCAGGUAUGGGGUGGAGUUGGGCAGGGAGGCUUCUGGGUAGAGACAGAAAUGGAGCGGAGGGCACUGGUUUGUUCUGCUCCACACCGGUUGUUCAACCAGGUAUUUGCUAGGUGGAAGGUAAUCAGUUUCAGAGCUUGGCAAAAUUACUUUUUUGGGGGGGCAGGGCUCCCAGCAUCUCCAGCAAGCAGAACCAGUGCGUCUUAAGGUAAAGGUUCCCCUUGACAAUUUUUGUCCAGUUGUGUUCAACUCUAGGGGGCGGUGCUCAUCCCCAUUUCCAAGCCAUAGAGCCAGCGUUUUUGUCCGAAGACAAUCUUCCGUGGUCACAUGGCCAGUGCGACUUAGACACGGAACGCUGUUACCUUCCCACCGAGGUGGUCCCUAUUUAUCUACUUGCAUUUGCAUGCUUUCGAACAGCUAGGUUGGCAGGAGCUGGGACAAGUGACGGGCGCUCACUCCGUCGCAUGGAUUCGAUCUUACAGCUGCUUGGUCUUCCGACCCUGCAGCACAGGCUUCUGCGGUUUAGCCCGCAGCGUCACCACGUCCCUCUUAUCUGUGUGUCUUAUCUGUGUCCAAAUGCAGGAGAUUAAUAUGAAGACUCAGGAAUUUGGUCCAUAGUGUACUUUCUGCACCAGGCGUCCCCAAUUUAACUGUGUAAGCUUCAUAGACUCAUUUACUUCAUCUAGUCUGUUUUAUGUAUGUAAUGUGAUAGCCGUGUGUGUGUGCAUCUUAAAUUUGGGUCUCCACUUUGCAUUACAUAUUUAUCUGGUUAUAAAUAUGGUACUGCCCCCCCAACCAUUUUGUAUAUACAAUAGAGGACACACCCAUCAGUGAAUUUACUGAUUUAAGAAAGUCAGGCACUAACCUUAAGACAGUGCUGCUCCUCAAGGUUUAUUAAAUAAAAAAUGGACCAAAAAAAUUAAGUAUUUACA